rnacentral:misc_RNA from 1 species
UCUCCGUUGGUGAACCAGCGGAGGGAUCAUUACAGGACUCGCAAGACUCCUACAACCCUGUGAACUUAACUAUAAGCACGUUGCUUCGGCGGGUGUCUCGGAGGGGGUUCUCCCUCCCCGAGACGCUAAACCCGCCGGCAGCCUACUAUACUCUGUCUCUUUGCGUUGGUAUCUCGAGUACAAUCAAACAAGUUAAAACUUUCAACAACGGAUCUCUUGGUUCUA